rnacentral:rRNA from 1 species
GAUGAACGCUGGCGGCGUGCCUAAUACAUGCAAGUCGAGCGAACAGACGAGGAGCUUGCUCCUCUGACGUUAGCGGCGGACGGGUGAGUAACACGUGGAUAACCUACCUAUAAGACUGGGAUAACUUCGGGAAACCGGAGCUAAUACCGGAUAAUAUAUUGAACCGCAUGGUUCAAUAGUGAAAGACGGUUUUGCUGUCACUGAUAGAUGGAUCCGCGCCGCAUUAGCUAGUUGGUAAGGUAACGGCUUACCAAGGCAACGAUGCGUAGCCGACCUGAGAGGGUGAUCGGACACACUGGAACUGAGACACGGUCCAGACUCCUACGGGAGGAAGCAGUAGGGACUCUUCCGCAAUGGGCGAAAGCCUGACGGAGCAACGUCGCGUGAGUGAUGAAGGUAUUCGGAUCGUAAAACUCUGUUAUUAGGGAAGAACAAAUGUGUAAGUAACUAUGCACGUCUUGACGGUACCUAAUCAGAAAGCCACGGCUAACUACGUG